rnacentral:rRNA from 1 species
GAUGAACGCUGGCGGCGUGCCUAAUACAUGCAAGUCGAGCGAACAGACGAGGAGCUUGCUCCUCUGACGUUAGCGGCGGACGGGUGAGUAACACGUGGAUAACCUACCUAUAAGACUGGGAUAACUUCGGGAAACCGGAGCUAAUACCGGAUAAUAUAUUGAACCGCAUGGUUCAAUAGUGAAAGACGGUUUUGCUGUCACUUAUAGAUGGAUCCGCGCCGCAUUAGCUAGUUGGUAAGGUAACGGCUUACCAAGGCAACGAUGCGUAGCCGACCUGAGAGGGUGAUCGGCCACACUGGAACGGAGACACGGUCCAGACGCCUACGGGAGGCAGCAGUAGGGAAUCUUCCGCAAUGGGCGAAAGCCUGACGGAGCAACGCCGCGUGAGUGAUGAAGGUCUUCGGAUCGUAAAACUCGGUUAUUAGGGAAGAACAAAUGUGUAAGUAGCUAUGCACGUCUUGACGGUACCUAAUCAGAAAGCCACGGCUAACUACGUG